AAGUUUGAGAAAGAGGGCGACUUCCGUUUCCGUCGAUGAUUCCCCCACUGUUAUUGCUAAGUCUCUCGCCUUCCAUUGAUGUCCUUCGAUCGUCUCUCAUCUGUAACACAAAUAAAAAUUACAUUGAAAUCCGAGCAGAGAUGCAUUACACAUACACAUUACUAGAUCUCUAAACCACGGUUAUAUUUAUAAAUCCCAAAUCAAGGAGAGUAUGCGCGCAAGCCACACCUGUUUAUUCUGCUCUUUCAAAAAAA